UACGUAGGCAGCAAGCGUUGUUCGGAGUUACUGGGCGUAAAGGGUGCGUAGGCGGCUUGGUAAGUGUGGUGUGAAAUCUCCCGGCUCAACUGGGAGGGUGCGCCUACAAACUGCCGGGCUAGAGUGCGGCAGAGGAGACUGGAAUUCCUGGUGUAGCAGUGAAAUGCGUAGAUAUCAGGAGGAAUACCGAUGGCGAAGGCAGGUCUCUGGGCAUUAACUGACGCUGAGGAGCGAAAGCAUGGGGGAGCGAACAGG
rnacentral:rRNA from 1 species